GUACCUUGAGGUUAACCCGUUUCCCGAAAGGGCGAACCAGGAGCGUCCUGGGCACUUCGGAGUUGAUAUUCGAUCACUCAUAAACCCCGGCAAGACGAUUUUCCUCCGACAGGAGGUGUCUACUAGGGGCGCGGCCUUUGGUAGGCCAGAUUCUGUGCCAGUCGACCUGUGCAGCUGGCCCCGCCAGAGUCGGAGCUAUUGGAACCUCCGGCCAUCUGGUCGAGAGAGAGAGCCGUCGACUGUCGCUACAGUGCAGCUAAGCCUUUCACUACUUUUUCCUAAACUGCGAUUUUGGACUAUUCACCUUUUAGUAUUAACUAUCCAAUAGCGCAAUCGACCAAGUAUCACCAACAAUAAUUAAAACCCGGUUAGAUAAAUAUAAAUUUAGUUUACUAUCAAUAAGUCGUUAAGUAGUGUUUAAGCUCAAAAGUGUAAACUUAACCAGGCCGGCAAUUAAAUUGUACCUGUCCACUA